GGAGACAGUGUUAUAUUUUGUAUAAACCGGUGUUUGACAUCCCCUAAAGUUUCAUUUAAAUUUCUAUCGAAAUCCACUCAUAUCGAUUUCGAUAUAUUGGGCGACACACAUGCUACAAUGGCUGAGACAAAGGGCCGCGAUCCCGCAAGAGUGAACUAACUCAAAAAAUCCGUCCUCAGUUCGGAUUGUAGGCUGCAACUUGCCUACAUGAAGCGGAA
rnacentral:rRNA from 1 species